CCCUCAAGCGUAACUUUCUUUCAUGUCCGCUCCCAAAUUUCGGCAUAUGGUUUUUGCAAUCUUCCGAGGCAGGUGACAACUACUCCGCUCAUCUUCCCGGUUUGGUGGAUGGUUCUGCGUCACGGAACGCAGACGCAGCCUGGAUUAUACGGGGUUUAGUGCGCAGCGCACCCAGUCUAGAGCGUUGAUUUGUUAGAGUGGAUUUCGCCCGUAGUGGUGAAAGAGGAAGAAAAGGUUCAUAUGGAAUAAAUAGGUCUAUUAUCUACAUGGGUAGUCGACUAUACAUGAGAUGAAGAAAAGAAAAGUGGGAAGCCAGUCCCCCAUCCCCAAAGAAAAGGAAUCAUAAUAUACAAAUCUCUUGAACAACACAACCAUUCAAUUAGGCGUUAUCCAAACCUGUCAAUCCCUGGUCUUCAGGAAAGCACUUCCAAAAAAAAAAAAAAAAAACGAAGAGAUCAACUUUGAUUCUUCUACUCUCAGUCCGCAAACAGCCGUCGUCACGAGGCAAAAUCAACCCAAAUACUGCCACUCAAAACACCACAUUGACAACUUUUCCGCCACGUGCGACAAUAACUCGCUUUCUCUUCUCCCAGUCAUGCCUCUCCUUCAGCCAUAAUUUGCCCUCGGUUGUUUCUAGGAGAUGCAACAAAAUCCAGGAUUGUUCAUCAUCUGACGUCUUUGUCGGCACAGAUUCACCGCUCGGCAGCGACGGUAUAGUUGUGCUGAAGCGAAGUUUUCCAUUUAUUUGCACCGCGACGGUUUUGCCGACGCGAGCGCGGAGUGCUUGAACGUCGCGUGAUGAGAGGAGUGGAUCGGGCCAGGGCGACGAAAAAAUAGAUGGUACUGUCCGGGGCGGUGAAGAUGUAGUCGAGGAGUGUCGGAUUGGGCUAUGGAGAUGUUCCCAGCAUUCCGAGGCUAGCGCUGGUGUUAUAGGAGCUAGAAGUCGGAGGAGAGAUGAUAAUGCAAUGUAGAGAAUAGCUUGCGAACUUGGAGAUGGAGUCGUUGUUGGUAGUGAUGAUGAUGCCAGCGAAUUUGUGAAUUUGGUUAGGUCGGAUAUCACGGUGUUUAGGCCGUAAGGCAUCCCGUCGAGACAGUGGGAAACAGAUGUAAUAGUAUCGUGUGCUGCA
rnacentral:sRNA from 1 species